AAAGUGAAGAGAACCAAAAUUAGUCAGUACCCCAAGAAAGUAUUGUGAAAUAUGAGCAAUUUCAAACAAAAAUUUAUAGCAGGACAAAAAAGCGACCCAAACUUUUGCGAUGUUCAGCUUGUUUAAUUGCUACGGAUUUUUGCCGCAGAUUGGAUUCCUGUCAGCACUGUUGAAAGAAAAUGCAGACCUAUAACUGCCGUUCCUUUGGAGAAUAAAGAUUGGUUAAGCAUAACAUGAAUUGUUAAACACUUGUCAUCUUUAGGACUUUGUAAUCUCUACUGUUUGGGACUAGAAGGCAGAGCAUGUUCAUUUCAACUCCAUAAACCCUACGAAGAUGGACCUUGGUUGUUUCGGUAUGUUGUUGAUUUUUUACCUAGAUAAAACCACUGCAAUGGCAAUCCUUUUCUAUGAUGAAAAAGUAGUCUGAGGGGCAGAAACCAGAAGACAAGUCUUUCAAACAGUGCAUCAUCUGAUCAAAUGUAGUUUAGCACUACAGAUCUUUGGCUACAUGUUGGAUCAAUUUAAGUGUAUUGAUGAAAGUUUGAUAGUGUCUCUCUUAUGAACAAAGAGUGGAAUCGGUACCUUAUGGAUGAACUCAGUAAGUCAAAUUUCUUUAUAAAUCUCAUAAUUUGUACACAGAUGUUGCAUACUUUUUUUUUUGCUGUAACAAUACUUUUGUGUAACAGAUGCUGUAUACUUCUACAUGUUUCAGUUUUUCAAUUCAUUCGAAAGACUAUAAUAAAAAAGGGAUGACCACGGAAAUUCAAAUAUAUGGUAGCAAUCCAAAGGAGACCAGAUCUUUGAACACUGAAGAAAAGUUCGAUUUUCUUGUGAUAUCAUAGAAGUUGGAGAGGAAUUGAAGACCAGUGAACAAAGACAUGUGUUAGUGGGUGGUGCUUCCAGAGAUUAAUUACUAGGAGCUAGAUCAAUGGAAUAGCUGUAAAACUCAC
rnacentral:lncRNA from 1 species